GCCGAGAGAACCAGUAAAGUAGCCGAGAGAAACAGAAGAAGAAGAGAGAAAAUGUCGAAGCAGGGUGCUGAGGUCGUAUGCGUCACCGGUGGAAGCGGCUGCAUUGGAUCAUGGCUCGUCCGCCUCCUCCUCGACCGCGGCUACUCCGUCCACGCCACCGUCAAAAACCUCCGUUAGUACUCUCAAUUUCCCCUUUUUAACAGAAGUAACAGACACCACUCAACACUGUUCUUGUUGCAGAUGACGAGGCCGAGACGAAGCAUCUAGAAGCCCUAGAAGGAGCCUCCACCCGUCUCCGUCUCUUCCAGAUCGACCUCCUCGACCGCGCUUCCAUCUCCGCCGCCGUCCACGGCUGCUCCGGCGUCUUCCACCUCGCCUCUCCUUGCAUCGUUGACCAAGUCCAUGACCCCGAGGUGAGGUAGCUCCAUCUUCUCCGAU
rnacentral:lncRNA from 1 species